rnacentral:lncRNA from 1 species
CUUCUCGGAUGCUAUCUUUACAACGAGAAGCAGCUGAGGAUUGGCCAGUUUCAGGAAUUCAAGACACAUAACCUGCAAGAACACAUCAGUCCACCACAACAAAGCAAAGAAGAUAAAGACAAGAAGACUGAUGUUGUUCCAUUAGAAGCCUGCGAUGUUUUCACAGGAAAAUGGGUUCUUGAUAACAUCACACAUCCUUUAUACAAAGAAGAUGAAUGUGAGUUUCUCUCAGAGUGGGUGGCAUGUACGAGAAACGGGAGACCAGACUCUAAGUACCAGAAAUGGAGAUGGCAACCUCGAGAUUGCUCUUUGCCAAGGUCAGUAGUCCAGCUUUCUGAGAACAAAGAUAAGCAAAAUGAGUAACACUUUCUUCUUCUCUCAAAAUACCUUCUAUUUUCGCUUUCUAGGUUCGACGGAAAGCUGCUGCUAGAGAAACUCAGGGGAAAGAAACUGAUGUUCGUUGGUGAUUCAAUACAUUACAAUCAGUGGCAAUCCAUGGUUUGUAUGGUCCAAUCCUUGAUUCACUCAGGCAAAAAGACCUUAAAACACACAGCACAAAUGUCAAUCUUCAACACAGAGGUCUUAAAGACUACAUCUUAUAAGCAAAAAAAAAGUAAUAAUCCAAGAAGCAAAAGAACUCCAAAUCUUACAUUCUCUACUAUUUUGAAUGUGUAGGAGUACAAUGCGACCAUAGCAUUU